AACGAACGCUGGCGGCAGGCCUAACACAUGCAAGUCGAGCGAACCCUUCGGGGUUAGCGGCGGACGGGUUAGUAACGCGUGGGAAUAUACCCUUUGGUACGGAAUAGCCUCGGGAAACUGAGAGUAAUACCGUAUGUGCCCUUCGGGGAAAGAUUUAUCGCCAAAGGAUUAGCCCGCGUUGGAUUAGAUAGUUGGUGGGGUAAUGGCCUACCAAGUCUACGAUCCAUAGCUGGUUUGAGAGGAUGAUCAGCAACACUGGGACUGAGACACGGCCCAGACUCCUACGGGAGGCAGCAGUGGGGAAUCUUAGACAAUGGGCGCAAGCCUGAUCUAGCCAUGCCGCGUGGACGAUGAAGGCCUUAGGGUUGUAAAGUCCUUUCAGAUGGGAAGAUAAUGACGGUACCAUCAGAAGAAGCCCCGGCUAACUCCGUGCCAGCAGCCGCGGUAAAGUCUGUACU
rnacentral:rRNA from 1 species